GGGAAACGACGUGCAGGUAGGCGGGGAACGAGGGAUGGGGCUGGCGUUAUCCGGAAUGACUGGGCGUAAAGGGUGCGUAGGUUGGUUCUUAAGUAGGAGGUGAAAGGCUACGGCUCAACCGUAGUAAGCCUGUGAAACUGGGAAACGUGAGUGCAGGAGAGGAGAGUGGAAUUCCUAGUGUAGCGGUGAAAUGCGUAGAUAUUAGGAGGAACACCAGUUGCGAAGGCGGCUCUCUGGACUGUAACUGACACUGAGGCACGAAAGCGUGGGGAGCAAACAGGAUUAGAUACCCCAGUAGUC
rnacentral:rRNA from 1 species